UUGUUACGAGANCGAUAGCGAACAAGUANCGUGAGGGAAAGUUGAAAAGAACUUUGAAGAGAGAGUUCAAGAGUACGUGAAACCGUUCAGGGGUAAACCUGUGAAACCCAAAAGAUCGAAUGAGGAGAUUCAUCGUCAGCGUAUUCAGUAUUAAUGCAGGCUAUGAUGUGAUAAUAGAAUCCUCGUGGUCACUAGAUUAUACUUGCUUGUAUUAUUUUUGCUGGGUAUGUCGGCGUGCACUUCUCCUCUAGUAGAACGUCGCAACCCGUUGGAUGUUUAUCUAUGGCCUGAAUGGUAGCCUUNGAUAUUUUAUAUNNUGAAAACCUUUNGGUGUCCUGAUAAACUGUCUGACGGUGUA
rnacentral:rRNA from 1 species